rnacentral:rRNA from 1 species
UACGUAGGGGGCUAGCGUUGUCCGGAUUUAUUGGGCGUAAAGAGCGUGUAGGCGGCUUUACAGGUCCGUUGUGAAAACUCGAGGCUCAACCUCGAGACGCCGGUGGAAACCGUAAAGCUAGAGUCCGGAAGAGGAGAGUGGAAUUCCUGGUGUAGCGGUGAAAUGCGCAGAUAUCAGGAGGAACACCCGUGGCGAAAGCGGCUCUCUGGGACGGUACUGACGCUGAGACGCGAAAGCGUGGGGAGCGAACAGG